rnacentral:rRNA from 1 species
UACGGAAGGUCCGGGCGUUAUCCGGAUUUAUUGGGUUUAAAGGGAGCGUAGGCCGGCUUUUAAGUCAGCUGUGAAAGUCCGCGGCUCAACCGUGGAAUUGCAGUUGAAACUGGAGGCCUUGAGUGCACACAGGGAUGCCGGAAUUCAUGGUGUAGCGGUAAAAUGCGUAGAUAUAUGGAAGAACACCAGUGGCGAAGGCGGCCGCCUGGCCUGUUACUGACGCUGAGGCACGAAAGCGUGGGGAGCAAAUAGG